CUCGCCCUCCCCCUAGUUCUGCAAAAUCGGCGUCCAAGGGAGCGGAUGGGCGAGUUGACUCAGAGGAGGAGUCCCGGGGAGGUUCGGUAAGACUCCUCCCAGGUGAACGCGCGCGGGGGGGUCUCUCGCCCGGUCUGGGACGCGAAGGGAAGGUUUGGGACGUGGAGAAACCCAGUGUUUUCGCGGAUGGGCGAACCUCCUCCUCUGCUCCCCAGGGAAUGGAGAUGGGGCGGCGGCGGAGACUUGCUGGAGAUUACCAAACUCUGUGGAGUGAUCAAAGAUGAAGCACCACUCUUGAAGCCUUCCAGGAGCACAAAGGCGUUCCAGUAAAGGCCGGGCAGUGAAUGGUUUCCCAAUCAACACCGUGAUCUUCUGCAACGGGACAAGAAGUCAGCAUUAGCAAAGCUGGAGAUCACUUAUUUCUCUUGCAUAACUCCUCAAUCCUUUUUGCUGCUUGGAAGCCCCUGGCCAGUUCUUUCUGCAACACUAGUAACUCCUUACCCUGUUUGAAAAC